GUACUAGCUGGGAAUACUAUUAGUCCUGGAGUUAACCUAACCACUAAUGAUAAUGUAAUCAGUGCUGUGUGUAUAUGUUUGUCUUGUAUGUUGUAAGGAGGUGCAACAUUCCACUGUGCCAAUGGACUACACCUGGGCCCGAGAGCUGGGUCUGAUAUAGGUACCGAAGUCGGGCUCCUUCAUGACCAGUAUAUGUGACGAGAGGGGCCUGGAGCUGAUCUAUGCUGCCAUGCCUAUCAGCUUUUAAAAUGGAGUUCUCUGACUGAUACAUGGGGCUGUGUAUUCUUCAAACAUGUCGGGGAACUCCUGUCUUAUAUGGGACACCAUACAGAAAGGACAAUGACCCAAACUCACCUCCAGGCUGUGUAAGGGCUACUUGACCAAUACGGAGAGUGAUGGAGUGCUGCAUCAGAUGACCUGGCCUCCACAAUCACUCAACCUCAACCAAUUUGAGAUGUUUUGGGAUGAGUUGGACAGCAGUGAAGGAAAAGCAGCCAACAAGUGCUCAGCAUAUGUAUGGGAACUCCUUCAAGACUGUUGGAAAACCAUUCCUCAUGAAGCUGGUUGAGAGAAUGCCAAAAGUAUGCAAAGUUUUCAUCAAGACAAAGGGUGGCUUCUUUGAAAAAUAUCACAUAUAUUUGGACUUGUUUAACACUUUUCUGGUUACUACAUGAUUCAAUAUGUGUUUUUUCAUAGUUUUGAUGUCUUCACUAUUAUUCUACAAUGUAGAAAAUAGUGAAAAUAAAGACAACCCCUUGAAUGAGUAGGUGUGUCCAAACUUUUGACUUGUACUGUAUAUGGUAUUAUAUAUUUUUUGGGAUUAUUUAUACUGUUUUAGAUGUUUAUUAUUGCACUGUUGUACAUGUCUGUUGUUGAACAACCCCAUGCCAUGAUUAGAUAGUGAAAAAAUGACACCAAUCUCUUUCAUGAGCUUAUAUAACAACAUUUCUGAAAAUGGACAUAUAGUGUUUUGAAUGAAACUCUUCAUAUCAGGACUUACACCCACCAGUAUGAUGGCCAACACACCAGGACCCGUUAGGUUUUUCCAUUCGUUAUGACUCUCACUUUAGUCCCUUGGGAAAAUAUUCUACUGAAGUGGUCAACUGGAAAUAUGCUACAUGUAAAUGUUCCUACUCAACUGCUUUAUUUUAUAGGCAACGUUGAUGGAAAAUUGCUUUAUAGCUAUAACACAUGAGUAAAUGGGGAAUUUAUUAACAUUAUUACACAAUUGACAAGGCAAAAUAUAUUUCAGUCCCUCUGCUUUUGGAUUGUGAAUCUUGAAGUUGCGUCUCAGCCAUUCACAGAGCUUUUCUAAAUACUUUUUGUUGUUGCUGUAAUUACCAGGCUUUGCACACUUCCUUUGCCCUCAUUAAACAACAUUUUUAAUGGAUGAGGUUUGAAAUAAACAUGUUUCUCACUGAGGGGUUGGGUUAAGGUUCAGAGAGUUUGUUAGCCUUUAAAGUUUGUUACCACUAAAGAAAGUGCCAUAGAGACGUGCACAGGAAGUACCUAUGGAUGACUGUGUGGUUUAAGAAUGGUGUGAGAUACGUACAGGGAAAUUAAACCUCACUGAA